rnacentral:rRNA from 1 species
AUUGAACGCUGGCGGCAGGCCUAACACAUGCAAGUCGAGCGAGCGGCGGACGGGUGCGUAAUGUAUCGGGACUGUCCGAUCUAGAGGGAUAACUCCUGGAAACGGUGUCUCAUAUCGCACACUGCCGGAUAACCCCUAUGGGAUUAGCUAGUAGGUAAGGUAAUGGCUUACCUAGGCGACGAGCCCUAGCUGGUCUGAGAGGAUGAUCAGCCACACUGGGACUGAGACACGGCCCAGACUCCUACGGAGGCAGCAGUGGGGAAUAUUGCACAAUGGGCGCAAGCCUGAUGCAGCCAUGCCGCGUGUAUGAAGAAGGCCCUAGGGUUGUAAAGUAUUUUCAGUCGGGAGGCGUUACCGGCAGAAGAAGCACCGGCUAACUCCGUGCCAGCAGCCGCGGUAAUAC